rnacentral:rRNA from 1 species
UUUCCCUACGGGACGCAGCAGUGGGGGAUAUUGCACAAUGGGGGAAACCCUGAUGCAGCGACGCCGCGUGAGUGAAGAAGUAUUUCGGUAUGUAAAGCUCUCUCAGCAGGGAAGAAAAAAGACGGUACCUGACUAAGAAGCCCCGGCUAACUACGUGCCAGCAGCCGCGGUAAUACGUAGGGGGCAAGCGUUAUCCGGAUUUACUGGGUGUAAAGGGAGCGUAGACGGCAAUACAAGUCGGAAGUGAAAUACCCGGGCUCAACCUGGGAACUGCUUUGGAAACUGUAUGGCUAGAGUGCUGGGUG